CGUAAGGAUAGACGAUUAGAUCUUGUUGAUAAAAGUGAUGGUGGUGGUGUUCUUCUGGCAGUGAGAAUCGAUAUCAUAGUUAACGUUGUGGAAGCACCGCAAUUAGAUGGUCUUGUUAAUUCAAUUGACAUUUCAUGUUGUAAAUGUAUUAUCUCUCAGAUUCGUGCCUCAAGGGCGAAAAUGUUAAUAAAUU